UACGGAGGGUGCAAGCGUUGCUCGGAAUUAUUGGGCGUAAAGCGCGUGUAGGCUGUUAUCUAAGUCUGGUGUGAAAUCCCGGGGCUUAACUCCGGAAGUGCAUUGGAUACUGGAUAACUAGAGGACGAGAGAGGAUGGUGGAAUUCCUGGUGUAGGGGUGAAAUCCGUAGAUAUCAGGAGGAACAUCAGUGGCGAAGGCGGCCAUCUGGCUCGUUCCUGACGCUGAGACGCGAAAGCGUGGGGAGCAAACAGGG
rnacentral:rRNA from 1 species